rnacentral:lncRNA from 1 species
GGAGCAGGGAAGGAUUCUGGGAGCUGCAGUUAUGAACACAGAUAUCCAGGACUACUUUCCUGAGAUCUGGAGGAAAAUCCGGCCCCCUGCUGACUGCCUGGAUUCAGCGGAGAACCAGGCCUGGCAGGAAGAUCGAGGACUUGUUCAAGUGCAGCUUUGAGCACCACUCGUCUGGGCCCCAGAGGACACAGUGCAGGACUCCUGCAGUGAAGCAGGUCGCCAGAGGCUUCAAAGCCUCCUUCAUGAAAUAGCCUAGGGCUGGGAUCUGCCAGCACGUCUCGCUGCAGGUCCAGUGGGGAAGUGGGCAGAGGGAGCCCAGCCCUCCAGCCCAGCCUGUAGCCCAGGGCAGAGCUGAAAGAACUUCCCUGGAGGGACAGGAGGGUGGGCGGGACUGGAAGACGCACAAUGGAGGCACCAGAGCACUGAGGGCGGAAAGCCAGCUGAGGAGCUUGGAUGGAUCCCAAGGGCCAUGGGAGCCGUGAAAGGGAUUUAAAGCAGGGCCGUGACAUGGCCAACUGGAUUUCUAGCAUUAUCUCUACAAGCUGCACAGUGGACGGCAGGCUGGUUUGACAUCUUUAUUAGGGCCCCUGGUGGAAGUGGUGAGGACAGAGAAGCGAGGGGGGAGCUGCUUGGCUGUGACCCAUAGAGACCGAGGCUGCCCGUGGUGGGGAGUGCAGCAGGGGCAGGUCUGAGAGUGGCUGUGGGAGCUGAGGUGUUCCUUUGUUUCCUGGUGAGUCGUGUGUGUCCAGGGCACCCGGUGGAAGUGUAGGUAGUGGCUGGCUGGGUGGGGGGGCGGAUGGUCAGGAGGAAGAUGAGGCUGCAGGAGGCAGAGUUGGAGCCAUCGGCAUAAAUAACCGGUGAUCCCUGAGGGGUGCAGGUUGCACAGGGGGUUCAGAGUGAGAUAAACCCAGAAGAGAACCCCAAGGAGUGUGAGUUCACGGGGUGGGUGGGUGAAGGUGGCCUGUGGAGGAUGCCGGGAGGUUGCAGGUAGCCGGAAGACAACCAGGUGAGUGUCACUCAGGAGGAUGAGAGGUUCAACAGGAUAGAGUGGUUGAGGUAACACAGACCCCCAUUGUCCUCUACCCCCAAGAAGUCAAGGUCAGCUGGCAUCUUUGGUGAUGGGCAGUAAAGUCAGACUGCAGUGGGCUGGGAGCGAGUGGGCAGGUGGGGGGUGAGAAACACAGUGACCUCAGGAUGGGGACCCCGUGGACCCAGUGAAGCUGGACCUGGAAAGACCAAAGGGAGCUAAACAAGGAGGGACCUACUGGGCCCAUUUUCCCAUGUCGCUGUGGGUCAGCCCUGGGCCUGGGGGAACCACUCUGCCAGUUCCUGCCGCUGCACCUCUGAAGCCACACCCAGCCUGCCACAGGCCCACCAUGGGGGCCUCAGGUUCAGGAUGCUGAAGAUCUGCUUUGGCCCAGCAUCUCUGAAGCCACACCCAGCCCGCCACAGGCCCACCAUGGGGGCUUCAGGUUCAGGAUGCUGAAGAUCCACGUUGGCCCAGGAUUGGGGUGGGGGGCAUGUAUCCAAAAUGGCUACUUCCUUGUCUCGGCUUCUGCUCUUUGGGUUCUUGCCUUCUGUGAUAUUGGAUUGGUGGCAUCUUUAGACACUCUCCCGGGAUGUGUGUGGUUGUGGCUGAAUUCUCACUGAGCCCCCUGGGUGGCAUCCUCUGGGCCUGGGAGGUGGAGUCCUGGAGAGCUGCUCCCUGCUCUCUGGGCAGCCUCUGGACUGCUGAGGGCUGGUAGCUCCUUCCCAGGCAGGGUGGCCUUUCUCACGUCUUCCAUCCUUCCUUCCUGUGCAGCCAUUCCGGGAGAGAGGAGAGGGUCCCAGAGCUCAUGUCCACUCCACUCCCUGGCACGAUCUGGUCUCCCACCCUUUGGUGAGGACCGUGUUCCUCCCAGAGGCUUUCCCUCCAGGCCCGAGGUGGGAACCUGCAGGGAUCUCAGCUUCCUUCCCCUUUUCUGUUCCUGUCAUGGUCACCACACUGAUGCACCUUGCGGAAGAGAAGGUGGCAAGUGCCCUGUGUGCUUUUAUAUGUGAGACAGGACCUGACAAAUAAGUACUAUGAAAAAUACCUGGGGCCUGCUUAUGUAUCUGCAUUUUUGUGUUUCCUGUCGAAUGUCUUUAAUGUAUAAAUGUAGCAUCUUCUCAGUAAAAACACAAAUGCUUUUGGAGGACGGGGGGAGGAAGCAGAUACUAGAAUUGGCAUGCUGUUUCUAAAGCCCUCUGGGAAAAACAAACAUGUAAGAAAUAACCAAGAUAUUCCUGGAAAAGCAGAGCAUUGAGAGGGACACUGGCACUCCAGAUACUAAAAAGUCUAAGAUAAAGAUACCAUUUGCAAGGCUACAGAAAUGCAAACAGUGGGGCUGGCACAUGAACACACAGACGACUCAAGGGGAGAAAAUAAGUCCAGAAAUAAACUUACAAUCAGGAAUUAAGAAUAUGAUAAACAGCCAGACACAGUUUCUCACACCUGUAAUCCCAGCAUUUUGGGAAGCCAAGGCGGGCGGAUCCCUUGAGCCCAGGAGUUUGAGACCAGGCUGGGCGUCAUAGUGAAACCCUGUCUCCACUAAAAAUACAAAAAGUAGUCGAGUGUGUGUAGAGGUGUGAGCCUGUAGUCCCAGCUACUCAGGAAGGCGAGGUAGGGGAAAUACUUGAGCCCAGGAGGUUGAGGCUACAGUGAGCAGAGAUUGUGCUCCUGCAUUCUGGCCUGGGCGACAGAGCGAGACUGACUCAAAAAAAAAAAAA